UACGGGAGGCAGCAGUGGGGAAUAUUGCACAAUGGGCGCAAGCCUGAUGCAGCCAUGCCGCGUGUAUGAAGAAGGCCUUCGGGUUGUAAAGUACUUUCAGUCGUGAGGAAGGUGUUAAGGUUAAUAACCUUAGCAAUUGACGUUAGCGACAGAAGAAGCACCGGCUAACUCCGUGCCAGCAGCCGCGGUAAUACGGAGGGUGCGAGCGUUAAUCGGAAUUACUGGGCGUAAAGGGCACGCAGGCGGUUAAUUAAGUUGGAUGUGAAAUCCCCGGGCUUAACCUGGGAAUGGCAUUCAAGACUGGUUAGCUAGAGUCUUGUAGAGGGGGUAGAAUUCCGAUGUGUAGCGGUGAAAUGCGUAGAGAUGUGGAGGAAUACCGGUGGCGAAGGCGGCCCCUGGGACAAGACUGACGCUCAUGUGCGAAAGCGUGGGGAGCGAAACAGGAUUAGAUACC
rnacentral:rRNA from 1 species